UGGGGAAUAUUGCGCAAUGGGCGAAAGCCUGACGCAGCGACGCCGCGUGGGUGAUGAAGGCCUUCGGGUCGUAAAGCCCUGUCAAGAGGGACGAAACCUCGUCGACCUAACACGUCGGCGACCUGACGGUACCUCUGAAGGAAGCACCGGCUAACUCCGUGCCAGCAGCCGCGGUAAUACGGAGGGUGCAAGCGUUGUUCGGAAUCACUGGGCGUAAAGCGCGUGUAGGCGGCCUUCUCAGUCUGGUGUGAAAGCCCGGGGCUCACCCCCGGAAGUGCAUUGGAUACUGGAAGGCUGGAGUACCGGAGAGGAGGGUGGAAUUCCUGGUGUAGCGGUGAAAUGCGUAGAUAUCAGGAGGAACACCGGUGGCGAAGGCGGCCCUCUGGACGGAUACUGACGCUGAGACGCGACAGCGUGGGGAGCAAACAG
rnacentral:rRNA from 1 species